rnacentral:lncRNA from 11 species
UGUGAAUACACACAGAUGGGUCUUAGUACACAUGCACAGGUCCUAAUUGAAAGCUGUAAGUUCUAGCUUUAAAUUUUAGUGGUAAUCCCACCCACUCCUCCCCAGAGCAUAAAAGGCACCCUGGCCAGCAGCUUCUCCUCAGUUUCUAAGCUGCAAGCAGCUAGAAAGGAGGUUUGAAUGAGUGAGAGAAGGAAUGUGCAGGAUAGUGUGAAUUCACAAAGGACCACUCAAAGAAACCCAGUUAUAGGUGGGAGAUCUGCAGCCUGUCCGAGGAUCCUGAUGGCUUUCCAGUCCAGCACAGAGUACUUGUAGCUGUAAUAGAUCUUUAGACAUCUACUAGAAGCAGCACAGUUCCUUGAUAUCCCAGGUAAGAGAUCUCAGUGAGAUCUGUGGAAUUAGAUGCACAUUGAAUGUAAGGUAUUUUUUCUUUGGGAUGAGAUUUGGAAUGACCCAAACAAAGGACCAGACUUUC